rnacentral:ncRNA from 1 species
GUCGGGUCUGUGGUUGAAAGUCGAGGCCAGUCGCAGGCGAAACGAUCCACGUAAGUUAGAUAAAAUGUUUAAUGAUCAUGGUGCGGCUUAGAAGUAAGUCCUACCGUUUUAAAACGAGAGGUCUAGUAGUGAGAGGUUAGUUCCGGGUAGCGAAAAAUCCAGUAGGCGAGUGUGGGGGCAAAGAUCAGGUCAGCCGA